UUAAGCGACUAAGCGUACACGGUGGAUGCCCUGGCAGUCAGAGGCGAUGAAGGACGUGCUAAUCUGCGAAAAGCGCCGGCGAGGUGAUAUGAACCCUUGACCCGGCGAUGUCCGAAUGGGGAAACCCAGUGUGUUCCGACACACUAUCGUUAACUGAAUACAUAGGUUAACGAGGCGAACCGGGGGAACUGAAACAUCUAAGUACCCCGAGGAAAAGAAAUCAACCGAGAUUCCCCCAGUAGCGGCGAGCGAACGGGGAGCAGCCCGGAGUCUGAAUCAGCUUGUGUGUUAGUGGAACGGUCUGGAAAGUCCGACGGUACAGGGUGAUAGUCCCGUACACGAAAACACACUUGCUGUGAACUCGAAGAGUAGGGCGGGACACGUGGUAUCCUGUCUGAAUAUGGGGGGACCAUCCUCCAAGGCUAAAUACUCCUGACUGACCGAUAGUGAACCAGUACCGUGAGGGAAAGGCGAAAAGAACCCCGGCGAGGGGAGUGAAAAAGAACCUGAAACCGUGUACGUACAAGCAGUGGGAGCCUCUUUAUGGGGUGACUGCGUACCUUUUGUAUAAUGGGUCAGCGACUUAUAUUCUGUAGCAAGGUUAACCGUAUAGGGGAGCCGAAGGGAAACCGAGUCUUAACUGGGCGUUAAGUUGCAGGGUAUAGACCCGAAACCCGGUGAUCUAGCCAUGGGCAGGUUGAAGGUUGGGUAACACUAACUGGAGGACCGAACCGACUAAUGUUGAAAAAUUAGCGGAUGACCUGUGGCUGGGGGUGAAAGGCCAAUCAAACCGGGAGAUAGCUGGUUCUCCCCGAAAGCUAUUUAGGUAGCGCCUCGUGAAUUCAUCUUCGGGGGUAGAGCACUGUUUCGGCUAGGGGGCCAUCCCGGCUUACCAACCCGAUGCAAACUACGAAUACCGAAGAAUGUUAUCACGGGAGACACACGGCGGGUGCUAACGUCCGUCGUGAAGAGGGAAACAACCCAGACCGCCAGCUAAGGUCCCAAAGUCAUGGUUAAGUGGGAAACGAUGUGGGAAGGCACAGACAGCCAGGAUGUUGGCUUAGAAGCAGCCAUCAUUUAAAGAAAGCGUAAUAGCUCACUGGUCGAGUCGGCCUGCGCGGAAGAUGUAACGGGGCUAAACCAUGCACCGAAGCUGCGGCAGCGACACUAUGUGUUGUUGGGUAGGGGAGCGUUCUGUAAGCCGUUGAAGGUGUGCUGUGAGGCAUGCUGGAGGUAUCAGAAGUGCGAAUGCUGACAUAAGUAACGAUAAAGCGGGUGAAAAGCCCGCUCGCCGGAAGACCAAGGGUUCCUGUCCAACGUUAAUCGGGGCAGGGUGAGUCGACCCCUAAGGCGAGGCCGAAAGGCGUAGUCGAUGGGAAACAGGUUAAUAUUCCUGUACUUGGUGUUACUGCGAAGGGGGGACGGAGAAGGCUAUGUCAGCCGGGCGACGGUUGUCCCGGUUUAAGCAUGUAGGCGGAGGUUCCAGGUAAAUCCGGUACCUUGUUAACGCUGAGGUGUGAUGACGAGGCACUACGGUGCUGAAGUGAUAAAUGCCCUGCUUCCAGGAAAAGCCUCUAAGCAUCAGGUAACACGAAAUCGUACCCCAAACCGACACAGGUGGUCAGGUAGAGAAUACCAAGGCGCUUGAGAGAACUCGGGUGAAGGAACUAGGCAAAAUGGUGCCGUAACUUCGGGAGAAGGCACGCUGAUAUGUAGGUGAAGCCCCUGCGGGCGGAGCUGAAAUCAGUCGAAGAUACCAGCUGGCUGCAACUGUUUAUUAAAAACACAGCACUGUGCAAACACGAAAGUGGACGUAUACGGUGUGACGCCUGCCCGGUGCCGGAAGGUUAAUUGAUGGGGUUAGCGGCAACGCGAAGCUCUUGAUCGAAGCCCCGGUAAACGGCGGCCGUAACUAUAACGGUCCUAAGGUAGCGAAAUUCCUUGUCGGGUAAGUUCCGACCUGCACGAAUGGCGUAAUGAUGGCCAGGCUGUCUCCACCCGAGACUCAGUGAAAUUGAACUCGCUGUGAAGAUGCAGUGUACCCGCGGCAAGACGGAAAGACCCCGUGAACCUUUACUAUAGCUUGACACUGAACACUGGUCCUUGAUGUGUAGGAUAGGUGGGAGGCUUUGAAGCGUGGACGCCAGUCUGCGUGGAGCC
rnacentral:rRNA from 2 species